rnacentral:rRNA from 1 species
AGCGAACGCUGGCGGCAGGCCUAACACAUGCAAGUCGAACGAAGUCUUCGGACUUAGUGGCGGACGGGUGAGUAACACGUGGGAACGUACCUUUUGGUUCGGAACAACUCAGGGAAACUUGAGCUAAUACCGGAUGAGCCCUUAGGGGGAAAGAUUUAUCGCCGAAAGAGCGGCCCGCGUUAGAUUAGCUAGUUGGUGAGGUAAAGGCUCACCAAGGCUACGAUCUAUAGCUGGUCUGAGAGGAUGAUCAGCCACAUUGGGACUGAGACACGGCCCAAACUCCUACGGGAGGCAGCAGUGGGGAAUCUCGCGCAAUGGGCGAAAGCCUGACGCAGCCAUGCCGCGUGAAUGAUGAAGGUCUUAGGAUUAUAAAAUUCUUUCACCGGGGACGAUAAUGACGGUACCCGGAGAAGAAGCCCCGGCUAACUUCGUGCCAGCCGCCGCGGUAACAC